rnacentral:rRNA from 1 species
GUUAUCCGGAAUCAUUGGGCGUAAAGCGCCUGUAGGUUGUUUAAUAAGUCCGUUGUUAAAGACUAGGGCUUAACCCUAGGAAAGCGAUGGAAACUGAUAGACUUGAGUAUGGCAGGGGUAGAGGGAAUUUCUAGUGUAGCGGUGAAAUGCGUAGAUAUUAGAAAGAACACCGGUGGCGAAAGCGCUCUACUGGACCAUUACUGACACUGAGAGGCGAAAGCUAGGGGAGCGAAAGGGAUUAGAUACCCCUGUAGUCCUAGCCGUAAACGAUGGAUACUAGAUGUUGUGCAAUUUGGACAGUAUCGUACCUAACGCGUUAAGUAUCCCGCCUGGGGAGUACGCUCGCAAGGGUGAAACUCAAAGGAAUUGACGGGGGCUCGCACAAGCGGUGGAGCAUGUGGUUUAAUUCGAUGCAACGCGAAGAACCUUACCAGGGCUUGACAUACUACAGAUCUUUUUGAGAAAGAAGAGUGCCUUCGGGAAUGUAAAUACAGGUGGUGCAUGGCUGUCGUCAGCUCGUGUCGUGAGAUGUUGGGUUAAGUCCCGCAACGAGCGCAACCCUCGUUUUUAGUUGCCCAUUUAUUGGGAUCUCUAGAAAGACUGCCCGGUGACAACCGGAGGAAGGUGAGGAUGACCU